CACUCUCCAGCGGCGUUCAGUUUCAGCGGGAGGAGUAACUGGCUGCCACACCAGAGGAACCAACCAACAACUCGCAAAACUGGACUUUGGUCCUCCAAACUGGGGCAAAACUGUAGGUACCACGCAGCCAAGACAAGAUCGAAGCAGUCCAACACCAUAGCCUGCCAGCGAUGACUGAGGGAGCCUCGGCCUUGCAAGUCCGCUGCCCAAGAACACCCCCCACCCGGACCACGAUCUCUCUGUCCUCCCGCGACGCCGGGGCACCGAUUCUUCUGCCCCCGCCCCCGCCCCCCUGAGGCUCGGGGAGCCGCCUUACCCCGUUCAACUUGACCUAGUCCAGGUUCCCUGGAGCUCAGGAGAGGGGCGCCGCGCUCGUUGCCCGGGACCAUCUCCGCACCGCUCCAACCCCGAUUUCAACAUUUCGGCUCCGACAGCGUUUAGAGAGGAAAGUAACAGAGCGCCCCCCUUUCCCUCUCCCCGCCUCUCUCCUCCCUGGCUCUCCGCUGGGGUUAAAAGGAGAAGUGAAAGGUAUGCAAAUGGCAAGCAAAUUGGAAGAGCCUGGAAGAAAGGCAGCUAUAAUAAACUAGACAAAGAGAAGGGACGCGGGGGACUAGCCCAGGAGUUUUAACCGGGAGAGAUGGGAAGGAUGAGGCUUGGCGGAAAGCGGGCACCCAGACGAACAAAAAGCGACCCUAUCCCCGCCGCGGUCCCCUCUCCUGAGUAGAGAGAGAAGGCAGGAGAAAGAGGAAAGGAAGCAAGCGCCCCCGCACACCCCAGCCACGGCACACAAAAGGUGACAAGAUCAGCGACACGUCCCGCAGUAUCACCCCCCCCCCCCCGCGCCAACACCACCCCCAGCCACCGGCAGGAAAGAGAAAGAAAUAAAAGCCGAGCGGAUCACUUACUCUUAGGAACUGGGAGGAGCGCAGCGCGGAGUUCCACUGAGGCUCCUGCUCAGAAACUGUUUAGAGGUUAUUUUAUUACGAUUCAUUUAAAUAACACCAUUUCCUCCUGAAAAAGAAAUGUUGACACGGGUGUAAGUCAUGGGAGUCUCUUUUCUUCCCAUUCAAGAACAAGCCAGUACAAGUGAUUCUGGAAAAGGGGAGGGGACUGGCGAGGGGACAGAAGAUACUUACGCGGCGCCGAGAGCAGGGGGACUGAGCCUUUUUUUUUUCCUCCCCUGCCGGCGGAGAGGAACACACGCGCGCGCUCACACCCGCCGCUACCUUGCGGGUGAUGAAUAUGAUAAUUGGACGAGGGACGCACAGUAACCGGCUUUUAAUAAAGGAACCCAGUUUAUGACUUCAAGGUCCUACAAAAACUAGGACUCUCAGGGGCUGCGAAGCAGAAACAUUCAUAGCUACUCGAUUAGACACGCUCAUUUUCUUAGGUAAGCCGUUAGGUGGAGACCGGAGAGAGGACUGCUAUAAGUAAUUUCGACCUUGCGAAUAACUGUCCCCAGAUCCCUAAACAAACCGAUUCUGGGAAUCUCAACCAGGUCCAGCUGAGAGACAAACGUGGGCAUGGAUUUCAGGAAGAUGAAGGCGAUCUUGCCCAGACACACGCUCCCGGACACACGCGCACAGACACACCCCAUCAGCCAAACACCACCACCACCACCACCCUGAAGAGGGGAAGAGAAAGAGAGAAAAACCGACUCCAGGGUGCAGGCCGGCCUGCUUCAGGCUAUCCAGAGGCAGACUGAGUGACCUCCAUAUCCCCCCCACACACACACUUCUGUCCCUGUGCCCAGUGUGCCGCCAAGCCCAACCUGAAUUUGUUGUGAAGGUCUGAAUGGGGUGUGUGGGGGGGGGGGGGGGGUGAAAUGCCACAAGAUCAGUAGCAAUAGCAGCUGUGCAUUUCUCUCCUGGGAACCCCACUGCUUAGAAGCCUCCCGAGUGAUGUUUGUUUAACCAACAGCUUUCAAAGUAAACAGGCGAAUCCCUCCAAAGGAGUUGAAAUAUAACCUUUACAAGAAUUUUUGGGUCAGGGUGCUGGCAGAAAAAGUAAUUUUAAAAAAUAAUACUGCCCCCACCCCAGUGUAUAGUCCACCAUAAGAAGCCUAAAAGAACCUAGAACUGCCAUAAAAAUAUCAGCUCAUCGAAAGGAUUCUUUACUGUCAAGGGACCUCGAAGCAGAUCACUGUUCCCCGACAGGCCCCGCCCUCGGGGAGAGGGGUCGGUGUCGGAGACUGAAGGGGCAAACUACUACUCGAUUUUAUGGAAGCGGCAAAAACAAUCAAAGGGAGGUACAUUCCUUGCCCUGGAGUAGACACGAGAAGGCUGGGAGCUCCGCGCCGCCAACCCUGGCUUUGCCUCAGGCACCGAACUUUCCAAUAUCAAGAUAUUAACAGAUGGCGGUGAGCACAUGGAGGGCUGUUACUUACAUAAUCCAGCCGCUCCGCCCGGCCGCGCGGAGCCCGGCUAGGCGCCCGCCAGGCCGCGCGCGCGCCUUGGGAGGGGUGCUGCUGCCCCCCGAAACACUGUGCCUUUCUCCAACCCUAUUCGGCUCUUUGAGGGAUAGGAUUUGGAAAGGCCUGAUCUCAGUUUAAAAAAAAAAAAAGCACAUCAAUCUACUAUGCUGUAUCUUCAGUCCACCGCAGUAAAAACGCUGCAGACCGAAGGGCCAAGGGAAGCGGAGGGUAUGCUUUUGGGGAGAACGGGACACACUCUCUCGGUAACUGGGGGUGCCACGUAGCGAAAUUUACUCAAUUUACACCCCUCCCUCUUUGGCUCAAAUUAGCAUAUCGUUCACUGUCACAAAAAUACAAAGGCAAGCUGGGGCCGCAACCUAGAGUGGGGUGGGUGAGGGUGUGAGUGCGUGGGGACGCCUUUGCACGCGGGGGCGCAGUGGGCAAAGUUACGCACAGCCUGGGGCACUGCUACAUUUCCCAGCUUUUGCAGGUUUUUAACCACUGGUUCUCGCGCGCGGGGAGUCCCUUUCGACUGUGAAGUCGCCUACUGCCAUCACGCCCUCAGCCACCUCCCCAGAGGCCCAGUCCCUCCCGGUGUGCCUGUGUACCUCCUCCGCACGUGUGCUGGGGGACGUGUUUGUUGGCCGAGCCUCCUCCCUGAUGGCGACUCGGAGCCGCCGAAACCCGUGAGGAAUACGCCUGCGUGCGUUGGAAAAGUUUCGGGACGGAAACCUUUUCAAUAGAAGCUGCGCAUCAGACCAAUGAAACCACAGGACAAAACAUUCUAUUCAAGGAGGGAACAUCAAGAAGGAAAAGAAGGUCAACAUUCCUAGAGGCAACCAUUCUUUGCUUUCAAUGGGACAGAAGAGCUCCUUGGCACCGGAAGCCUCCUGGUCUGGUGAGGGAGGAAGGAGGGACUGUUCUGGGGACACUUGGGCAUCAUCGAUGCUCUCCGCAUUCAGACCGAGGAAGGAGCUGGGGCCGCGGCCUUCGAUGCUCGUGACCCGAGGAUGGGCGGACCGUGAGCACAUCACAGAAGCAGUGAUGACUGGUCUCUAUCAAUACAUGACUGUCCUCGCUUAACAAGUGAAUAAAGAGAAAACAACCGAACACUUGGAACUCCCCCCCCAAAGCCAGCAGGAAACCUGAAAAAAGGAAGAAGAACAUGGAACAAGGAAGGGUGUUGUACGAAGCACCCGCCAUCUUGCGUAUAUUUUGUUUGCCUUCUUGGACUUACUUGAACCUCCCCCUUGCUCUGCCUAGACUUACAAAGUGAGAAGCACUUGGGAUUUGAUUGGGAAGGAAAAGGCACAGAAAUGGCUUCUUUUUCGAAUCUGACAAGAUGACAGCCCAUCUUUUUCUCUUGACCUUGUACUUGGACAUGGCUCAGAGAGUGGAAUGCUGCAAUUAGUGAUCAUUAACAGUGAAAUAAGAGAGGAAAGUUAGGAUCAAAUAAGAGACAAAAGACAGAAAUACAGGUCAAAGGAAAGAGGAAGAGAAGCUGGAAGGAACGGGAGGAAGCUGUUAAAGAUUAUUAAAGAGGGGGAAGGAGUAUAAGAGCAUACCAACCAAACACACAAAAAGAAGACCCAAACCUUUAUAGUAUUGUGACAGAGAUGGCUGUCUGGCCAGUGAAGGUUUACCUUCCGCUCCCACCGUGUAGACUUGUUUGGGGCAAGCAAUUGCUCAGCCAAAGACUACAUUUCCCAGUCUCCCUUGCAGUGACAUUGGACCAUGUGACUAGUUCUUAUCAGUGGAAUAUGGGCUGAAUUGAAAAAAGGUGUAUCACUAUAGUUUUUCAUUAACACUGUGUCUAGUUUCUCUCUUCUCCCUACUCCCCUUCCCCACAGCUUGCCCUCUCUCUCCAUCUUCUGGCUGGACAACUUUGAUGUCACCCAUGUCUAGAAGAUGUAGAGCCGUUACCUGGAAGGAAUCUGGAUCCCUGAAUGACUUUUGAAGGGGUGGAGCCCAGGCCAGCUGCCCAACCAAGAACAUCCACAUUAGACCUUUUGGUCUUAUGGGAACAGAAACUUUUGAGGGAGUUAACUGUUUGUGCAAGAUGACUGGUUGGGUAAAGAAGUCCAAAGUUUAUUAUCUGCAGAACAAAUACAGCCUGGGCAAAGGGUCAGCUUGAAGGAGGCAUCGCUGUCUCUGAAGAGGCCACGACCAGUGAGACUGGAUGGGGCUGUGAACCACCUGCAAAGGCCUCCAGAACAUGCUCUCGUGUAAGGGAUGAACUGGAGUUAUUACUCAACUAGGCCAGAGAAAAGAAGUUUGGGCAAAUCUCGAUUCGAAUUUACUUUGCCACUGGUUGCAGUGCGACUUUUGUGCUCAGGACUUUCUGCUCUUGGAGAAACGCAGCUGCUAUUUACCCAUCACCUAAAGGCUGAGGAACAUUGAUUCAAAGGAUGGAGACCAUGAAAAAUCAUGACUUAAAGGAAUAGAUUAUAUCACUGCAACUUCAAAAAAUGACUAUCUGUUAUGUGGAGUUUGGAGAUGACCCCACCCCCAGUUAUCUGCUGCCAUUCAACCACUCAAGUGAAGCUCAGCAGGCAGCACUGGGGAAGAGGGUGCUGUGCCGAAGGGACUGUCAAAGCUGUAACUGCAUUCCCAGUUUGUGCUGAGCCUGGGAACGUGGCACUUAGACAACGCCUAGGCUGAAACUUCCAAACAUGACGUUUCCCAGUACGGUCUGCCUUUUCUGGCCACCAAAGCUCAUCAUUAGAAACAUCUACUAAUUUUCUUCCUAAUGGAUUCAUAUAAACUCAUUGUAAGAGUUGAUCAGCAGUCUUCAUUCUCUCGCUCUCUCUCUUUUUUGUAAGGAGGUGACCUACUCACCUUGCUUGAUGUGAAGAUGACAAGAAGUUGCGAUUCCGCUGAGCAGAAUUUUUUCAUAACUUGAUUGAGUCCAUUUAACAAAUAUUUGGGGGGCUUAUCCUGGGUACCAAGCCACUCUUCUAUGUACUUGGCACAUCUCUGUUGUAGCAACAAGUAUAGAGAAGUAGAAAAAGACAACAUUUAAGGAGACAGGAAAUGGAAAGCCUGGGAAAUGGAACGCAUUGGAAAAACAACAAAUACGCUAUCAUCAAAAGCAUAUAAAAGGAACACAUUUUUUAAUCUUCUUAUCCUCUUUGUAUAAAAAUUAAAAUUAGUGGCACCUGUUGCAACUGUGUCUGUAUCACUGCCCUCUGGAAACACAAGGAUUUCUUGGGAACUGCAGUAUCGCCCUUUUUAACUCCUACCAUGAGGCAUCACUUUACUCGGAAUGAAUUCGAGGCAUGGGUGACAAAGUCCGUUUGCCACUGAUUGCCUUCCCCCCCAGUAUGACAGGUCUGCUCUGCGUCGUUUACUUUACCGAGCUUUCUGCCGAAACACCUCCCUCCCUCCCACUGUCUACAACUGGGCGGCCUCCACACUCAUGGAGCCCCUUUCGUCGUGGGACUCCCUUGGACUCCUCCAGCCAAUGCCGACAGGAGCCCCUUCUUUGGGUUCCUGUGGCAUCUCUAGUUAGCCUCAAAAGUAGAUUGAGAGCAGGGUCUAUGUCUUAAAUUUCCUUGUAUCUCCCACAAUGCCGAGAAAAAUGAUCUGUCUGUUGUAGGCUUCAACAAAUAAAUAAGUAGGUGUAUACUUAUUGAGUACAUGUAAGGAUAACAUUAAAAUGGCUAAUACCUAGUAUAGCAUGACCACUGACCAUUGAGAAUACUUUUACCGAUAUGAGUAUACACACCCACAUAUAAUACAUUAUUAUACAGGGCAGGUGUGUUAUCUCACAUGCUGAUAAUAUUAUGCAGAUGCUCACAAUAUUACGCCGAUGCUCACAAUUUUACACAGGGUAGAAAUAUUAUCCUCGAUUUUACAGAUGAGGGAUGAGGGAACUGAGUUUCAGAAAAGUUCAAAUUACUUGCUCAGGACCUACAACUGAUGGAAGACCCUAGAUCUCUUUCAUCCCAAACCCGUGCUCUUCCCACCGUGCUGCUAUCAUAAUUACUACCUGGGGGUGGAUCAGGUCCUCUGUCCCCUUGGGCUGAGGCGUGUCUUUCAAAGGAGAGGGCACUGGGUGCCUGGUGAGUCUGACUAGAGCACAUGGAUAAUCAGCUCACUUAGACCAAACCCUCUCCACUGGGGGACCUGCAUGGUCACAACUAACUCAUUUAUGGCCAGUUUACACACUAAUGUGCCUGUGUUACACAAAUGUGGUCGGAGAAGGUUAUUUUUCAAAGCCAAAGGUCUGGUAGCUGUUGGAAAAUUCACAGUGGGUCCCUUGAAACCUCUCAGUGGUUCAGUUUUAUCUCCUUUGUUAAGAGGGAAAAAGUUAUACUUCCCUUCAAUUCCUUGUCAUAAUAUUAAAGUACUUUGAACCUGAGUUUUUAAUAUAAAAACAAGACAUUAUCAUCCAAGCAUCAAGUUGGUGAAUCAGAAAAGAAAGACAAUCUCUUUUCAUUUUGGUCAGUCAUCACUAAGGAGUUGACACAUUUCAACAGCGGGUAGAGAGUUAUAAGCUCAUCAGUCCCAUUCCUGCUCCAGAGUCCACAGGAACAUCUCAUUCCCUCCUUGUUAGGUUGGGGUCAUGGCCAAAAACAUCAGGACAGAGGGGUCUAUACCACCUCUAGUCCUGCUCUUUAAAAGAUCUUAAACAAUAUUCCAGCAUUCGCUCCCCUCUCCACAGUUAGCUCAGAUGCCACUGGUUUAAGAUUCCAGCGUCACAGAAUAAUGGAAGGAAUUUGGGUUCCUGAGUCACCACUUGGAAGAAAGCCCCCACGGAGAGCUGCCAGACUUGCACUGGACAGUGACAUGAGGGAAGAGUAAAUGCAUGCGUGAGGUCACGGAGACUGUUGUCACAACAACUGGUAUUUACUGCUCUCAUACAGAAAGUGGUAUCAGAAGAGGGGUAUUGACAAAACCAUAUUCCUUAAUUGUUAUACUACCCUAAGUAUGUAUCAUUGGUUUCCUAGUGAAGACCCAGGCAGAAAGGAAACUCAUACCAGAAUACGGAAAAAUGGAAAUUCAGAUUAUGCAGUGACAAAUCAUUCGGUAUCACUAUUGCCUGCUAUUAAUUCGAAGGCAGUCCCAUGCACCGUUUGUAUCUUCAGGGGAAAUGGUUAGAAAACAGGAUUUUAGCAGUGUUUUUGAUUAAUGUAGAUAUGUAUUACAAGAAAGAGAUGACUAGGAAAGAAUUCCUGAGUUUGUGAGUAGGGAUAGAAUAGACUACAGAGUCCAGCAAUUUGUUU